GAUCAUUACAGUAUGUUCUGUAGAUCUGGUGUCUUGGAUAAAACCGUGGGGAUGGAAGCUUUUAAAACAGCUGCUCCCCCAUGUGGCCCGCAAGGGAAUCCAGCACCGCCCAACCUUGCUAAUUAUUAAAAUAUCGUUGCCUCGGCGGGUUUGCCUGCCGGCGGAUAAUUUAAACUCUUUUUUAAACCACAAUUAUUGUAACAGUCUGAGCAAAUAUUUAAUAAAUAUUAAAACUUUCAACAACGGAUCUCUUGGUUCUGGCAUCGAUGAAGAACGCAGCGAAAUGCGAUAAGUAGUGUGAAUUGCAGAAUUCAGUGAAUCAUCGAAUCUUUGAACGCACAUUGCGCCCCUCGGUAUCCCGGGGGGCAUGCCUGUUCGAGCGUCAUUUCUACCACUCAAGCCUAGCUUGGUAUUGGGCGUCGUUGCUUUUUAAAAGCAAACGUGCCUUAAAUGUAGACGGCGGCAAGCACCAGUUCCGAGCGUAGCAGAAAACUCGCUUUGGGAGCCUUGGGGCAUUGUCAACCGCACAAGUUUUUUACAAAGUUUGACCUCGGAUCAGGCAGGGAUACCCGCUGAACUUAAGCAUAUCAAUAAGCGGAGGAAAAGAAACCAACAGGGAUUGCCUUAGUAACGGCGAGUGAAGCGGCAAUAGCUCAAAUUUGAAAUCUGGCGUCUUUGGGCGUCCGAGUUGUAAUUUGUAGAGGAUGUUUCGGUAUUGGCACCGGUCUAAGUCCCUUGGAACAGGGCGUCGCAGAGGGUGAGAGUCCCGUACGCGACCGGCUGUCUUUGCCAUGUGAAACUCCUUCGACGAGUCGAGUUGUUUGGGAAUGCAGCUCUAAUUGGGAGGUAAAUUUCUUCUAAAGCUAAAUACUGGCCAGAGACCGAUAGCGCACAAGUAGAGUGAUCGAAAGAUGAAAAGCACUUUGGAAAGAGAGUUAAAAAGUACGUGAAAUUGUUGAAAGGGAAGCGCUUGCAAUCAGACCUGCUUGUAGUUGUUCAUCCAAGUUUCUACCUGGUGCACUCUUCUGCAAGUCAGGCCAGUAUCAGUUCGGGCGGCUGAAUAAAGGCUUCAGAAAUGUAGCUCUUUUCGGAGAGUGUUAUAGCCUGUUGCGCAAUGCAGCCAGCCCGGAU
rnacentral:rRNA from 1 species